rnacentral:rRNA from 1 species
AUUGAACGCUGGCGGCAGGCCUAACACAUGCAAGUCGAACGAGCGGCGGACGGGUGAGUAAUGUCUGGGAACCUGCCUGAUGGAGGGGGAUAACUACUGGAAACGGUAGCUAAUACCGCAUACCAUCAGAUGUGCCCAGAUGGGAUUAGCUAGUAGGUGGGGUAACGGCUCACCUAGGCGACGAUCCCUAGCUGGUCUGAGAGGAUGACCAGCCACACUGGAACUGAGACACGGCCCAGACUCCUACGGGAGGCAGCAGUGGGGAAUAUUGGACAAUGGGGGCAAGCCUGAUGCAGCCAUGCCGCGUGUAUGAUGAAGGCCUUCGGGUUGUAAAGUACUUUCAGCGAGGAGGCGGUACUCGCAGAAGAAGCACCGGCUAACUCCGUGCCAGCAGCCGCGGUAAUUC